GGCCUGGUGGUGUAGUGGUAACACGUUCUUAUAUUAUAUUGUAGUGGUUCGAAACAAAAAAUUGUAAGAACGUCGCUGGUUCGAAUCCGGCUCAGGCCA